CUUUACCCUGUCUCCUCUCUCGGUGAGCCUGGGGAUCGGGUCUCUUCGCAGAUGUCUUCAGGAGCCAGAAGCAAAAGGGAAAUGGACAUAACUCCGAGAAGCAGAUAGUGAAUGUCCAGCCUCCGCCACAGCUUUGCCACCAUGAGCUUCUUUGAUCACACUCUACCACUAUAAUGAGGGAGACCUGAACCUUGCUCACUGACAGCCUUUGAAGACCCAAAUGCUACUAUGGAUUGGAAGGUGCCCAAGGAAUGAAAGGGGACAUAGCCAUAAUCGUGGAAGAGGAGGGAGCCACCUCACUGCAGCCCAGCCUGCUCUGACUCCCAGGCAGCAAGAUUGGACGGCUUGCUCUCUAGCAGGGGGAUGGCCUUGCAGGCUGACCCUGGGAGGUGCCCAGCAGCACGUGGAGUGGCAGCCUCUAAUGAGGAGCUUCCUGUGGUUGCUGAGGAGGGAGAGAAUAGGAAGCCACUUACCUGGAGGAAAACAGGAGGGAGCCCUGACAUUUUUUCCUCUUUAAGGCUGGAGCUAGGAGGGAAAGCAGAAGAAGCAGAGCCUGCUGUGCACACUCAGUCGCAAAGCUUUGCUGAACUCUUCUUUACAGCUGACCCUGCCAGAGGGGCCAGCAGAAGCUCAAAACACAUGUCUCUCCAUCCUGCAAAGGGAUUUUCAGAGCUGCUAGACAUCUCUGGUGGCCUGAAGGCGUCAGGGGCGAUCCAUUAACCCUACAAACGUUGAAUGUUGUAUUGUACAACAAAGUCUUUGCAGAGAUGAUCAGCUAAGGUCCCCUGGGUUGGCUCCUUAGGCUUAGACAUUCAAUGUGUUCUCCUGUGUACAUAAUAGAAGAGAAAGGCUGAGGGGGAUUUUAUAAUGGCACAUACACACACACACACACACACAUACACACACACACACACACACACACACACACACACACACACACACAAAGCAGGGGUGAUGUAAGAAUGGUGUACAGAAAGACUUGAAGUUGCUUGCGAUGGGAGGCAGCCACAAGCACGGAAGCACUGGCCGCCAGCAGAAGCUGCAGCGCCAAGGACCAGGUUCUUGUAUGCAAACUGUACUGGGCAUGUGGCCUUGUUGUUUUGGCCUAGCUAAAAACAAAAUGUUGAACUUGUGACUUCCCAGAAAUGUUAGGGAAUAAGUCUAUGUUGCUUUAUGCCUCAAGAUCCAUGGUAAUUUGUUCCAGUAGCCCCAGGGCUAUCCUUGCAGAUGAAGUAGAAGCCUGGGUCUAAAGACACUUUGGGUAAGUAGAGUCACAUUCGUUCCCUUGGGAAUAUAUAUUGAGUGACCGUGAUGGUCCGGAUACAGAAGCUGUGAACAAGGAAGAUGGCAUCCCUGAUAACACUGGGAUGGGGGUGAGAGCAGGUAAUACAUAGAGAGUGUCUUAGUCACUGUUUUAUUCCUGUGAAGAGACACCAGGACCAAGGAAAGUCUUAGAAUGAAAGCAUUUAAUUAAGGGCUUGCUUACAGUCUCAGAGGUUUAGUCCAUUGUCUUCAUGACGGGGAGCGUGGUGGCGUGCACGACACUAGAGCAGUAGCUGAGAGCUACAUCCUGAUUCACAGGCUGAGGGAGGGUAGAGGGGGAGAGAGAGAGAGAGAGAGAGAGAGAGAGAGAGAGAGAGAGAGAGAGAGAGAACAAGCCUGGGCCUAGUAUGGACUUUACAAACCUCAAAACCCACAUGUGACCAUUGUUAUAGCAAUGCUUUCAAGAGAGUGUUCCAGAGUGAGGUGGAAUGGAGGACAGAGUGGACUAGGAAAGAGAUGACCUUUCAGAUGGGCCAUCCUGAGAUCUAAACCCUAAAUAUCAAGACAGCCUUGCCAACUGGAGAAAGCUUUCUUAGAGGAAGGAGCUUUCAGUGCAAAGGUCCUGUGAUGGAGUAAAUGAUCCAGAACACACUGCUCUGAGUAAGGGUGGAGAGCCUCUGCAGGGAAGCGGCUUCUGGCUGUCUUAGUCCUGCCUUGGAGCUAACCCUGAAGUAAGUAUGUAAGGCUCUUGAUCUAGUAUGUUCAAGGAGGAUUUUUUUGGGGGGGGCACUUAGCUACAGUCAUGCUUUGGGCUUUAAACUCUGCUGGCAACUUUGAACCAAACGCAUUGAUGAGAUUGAACAGGGAUAAAACUGUCUUCCUAAGUCAGCAAGGGACCCACAGGAAGUGUGUUGUUUUUGCAAAGGCCCCAGAGCUCAACAUCAACAGAAAGUGUGACUCGACAAAGCCAUCAGCAAAGGUGACAUGCACCUGCAAUGCUUUCAAGAACAGGACACACCUCAAGGUGGAUGGCUGGUGUGCUGCUUCCAGAGCUGUGGCUGGGUAGCGCAGUAUGGGGUCAUAGAAACAGAUAGUUUAUUCACUUACUCAUUCAAUUAAUAAAUGUUUAGUGAGCACCUAUCACGUUCCCAGCACCAACUAGACUUUGAGGAAUAACAGUGAAUGGGCGAUGAUGUCACAGAACUUAAUGGAGAGGGACUCAGCACGUUUGCUGUGUAAUUAUUUUCCAUUAUUAAAGCUUCUAGAUUAUUAAAUUAUGGUUAGUAAUAAAACAUCAAAAAAAAAGUAAUUGUAGAAAUAUAUAGUAGCUGGGCGGUAGGUGUUACACACCUUUAAUCCUAGCCCUCAGGAGGCAAAGGCUGGAAGACCUCUGAGUUAGAGGCCAACCUGGUCUACUGGGCAAGUUCCAGGACAGCCAGAGCUACAGGGAGAAAUCCUGUCUCAAAAAAACAAACAAACAAACAAAAUCCUAGUCUUCUGCAUUUGCCUUUUGGCUUAAUGCAUCCUGAGUCCAGUCCUUUCACAAACACUCGUUUCUUUUUAAGAGCUGAGUAAGGAGUCUGCAUUAUGAAUACAGCACAGUGUAACUAUGAUCCUCUUGGUAGAGUUCGUCUAUACUGUAAGUAACAUGCAAAGAAAAUUGCCCUGCAUGUCUUUAUGUAGCCUAUGGGUGCAUUUUUAAAGGACAAAUGCACAGAAGUGAAAUGUGGGUCAAAGGGGAGUGAGUAAUUUAAUCAAGAUGUCACACACAGGUCCUACACCCUCAGCAACACAGGUGCCAGGGGUGGCCAUCCUGUCCGAUGGGAAUGACAGCCGCUUGUUUAAAUAAACCAUUUUAACAUCUAAUUCAGCCGAUGUGAAGCAGCCUCCCGGGAACUUGUCCAAGGCCUCAUAAAGUGUGUGCUGUGACCCCGUAUGGUGUCAUGAGGCUGACUCUGAAGGUCUCAAAGGUUUUGGCCAUAUUAAAAUCUCAUUGAACAUACAAACUAAACAGUAGUUUUAAGCCACACAACACAGUGCUCCUGGCAGUGCCCAUGGGUGCCACAUCACAAACACUCACACAGUCUUCGUUCUGAACUUGACACCUGUAUUUUGCACCACGUAUGACAUCACGCAAUGCUGAUGGUUCCUGCCGGGAAAGGCUCAGCUCAGAUUUGAGCUACGACUGCUAUAAAUUAGAGCGUUCUACUGUACGUGCAGUUUUCUGCUCUUGUAGACACUUCAGGUUUGAACUAUGGAAAACAAAGAUUAUUAUCCUGCCAUCCUUCCUCGGCUCAUGGGUAUGAAGUUAGUGUGUUUGACUAACACUAAGUUUGACUGCUCGGGGUUAGAAAGUUUGAUUUUAAGAAUUGUUAUUGGGCUGAAGAGAUGGCUCAGUGGGUAAGAGCACUGACUGCUCUUCUGAAGGUUCUGAGUUCAAAUCCCAGCAACCACAUGGUGGCUCACAGCCAUCUGUAAUGAGAUCUGACACCCUCUCCUGGUGUGUCUGCAGACAGCUACAGUGUACUUACAUAUAAUAAUAAAUAAAAUCUUAAAAAAAAAAAGAAGAAUUGUUAUUUGAGUUUCAUAGAAAUCAUUCAAUGGAUUAUGGUGGGGGAUUAGGACAGAAUCUCUAAUAAUUCUGAAGUGACCCCAGGCAUGCUCCCAAUAUUUUGUACUAUGCAUUUGUGAGAACCAGCCUUCUCCAUAUUGACAGUUAUAGAAUCAAAAUAUUGAGCAACUCUGAAAGACAUUGGAGACACUGUAGAUCCUACAAUAUCAAAUAUCCAGCCAAGAUUUGGUUCAUUUAUGUAAACAAGCAUGGUGUCAAAUUAAUAUGUAAAUUUGCUUUAAUUGUUAAUGAAUAGUAAAAAUUACAUGUAUACCAUAGAAUUGCUUUAAAAUAAAUUUCUUUAUGACUUAUCUGCAA